GCGGCGAGGAAGGGACCGAGCGAGCCCAGCCCAGCCGGGGGCAGGGUGCCCUUCACCCAGGGAGAGGCUGGCCCUGGCGGCCGAGGCUGCAAUGAGGCCUCCUUCCCGGCAUUGUUCUAAGGAGACGCCCUCGGAGCUGACUUCCCCGGGGCGGACGCAGGCAGCAGGGCGCCGUGUCGGUGGCGUGGAUUAUGCCCGAGGGAGCUGGGUCCGGAGGCAGGAGCCAAGGCGGCAGCUGACCCUGCAGCUUCCUGAUCCUGGUGAGGUGGCAGGUCCCCCGGGAGCCAGUUCCGUCCCAGUUCCUGGAAGCCGGACCAGGGCCCGCAUCUGUGCGCUGUCUGUCUCCCCCUCCCCGCUGGCACCCACUAGCUCCAGUGGGUCCCACUGUCUGCAGCUAAGAACGCCUGGCUGAUGCGGCGGGAGCCAGGACGGCAGGGGGCGGGGCAGGGCGCCCAGGAAGUGGCAGAAGAGUCCAGACAGAGAUGUGGGAAGCUGGCAAGUAUAUUGAAGAACGACUACCAUUUGUGGGGGCCCUACCAGGUGCAUCAUCUCUAACCCUUACAGCAACUCUGUUAGCCGUCUUUCUUCCCACUUCACGGAGGAGGAGAUGCUUACCAGGUGCACCAGUUAAUAAUGCAGAUUUUUUCAAUAGAUGGAGUUACACAUAUGUUGAUAUAGAUGCGAUUUGAUAUGUAUGCUAUUUUGUUGUAUUGACAGCAAGCUUCAAAGCUUCAUAUGUCAAAUUUGCUGAAGGUGUUAACAUCAUAAAUAUUUUUACACUUAAAAAUGUCGAAUUUCGUGCCCAAAAAAAGAGCAUUUGCGGGAAGUUUUAUUUUGAAGAAAAGUGCUGCUGAAAGUUAUCAUAUACUUUGGGAAGCUUAUGGUGAACAUGCUCCAUCUCAAGAUACUUGUGAGCGCUGGUUUAAAUGCUUUAAAAGUGAUGAUUUCAAUGUGAAAGGCAAAGAACUUCCAGGUCAAUUUGAACCACGCUUUGAUUGUGAAACGACCAGAAUGUGCCAGAAGACACGGCAAAGUAAUUUUGCUUCGUGAUGACGCACCAUCACACACUUCAACACCAGUUAAAGACACGUUAAAAGGUCCGGCCUGGGAAGUGUGAACCACCCGCCGUGUUCACCAGGCCUUGCUCCUUCAGAUGACCACGUGUUCCGAUCGAUGGCACACGCAUUCUGAGCAGCACUUCAAAACGUACGAAGAAGUGGAGAAUUGGGUCUCUGAAUGGUUUGCCUCAAAACAAGAAAAGUUCUAUUGGGACGGUAUCCACAGAUUACCUGGAAGAUGGGGAAAUGUGUAGCUAGCGAUGGACGUUACUUUGAAUAAAGCACUUUUGAUGUUUCUCUUG